AUUGAUCUGUAAAGUAGGGUUUUUACCUGAUUGACUGACUCCGAAAGUGUUUCUGUUGAUUGCUGAAGACAUUUGGUGCUAAUCCUAAACCUUAAUACUCCUUCGUUUCAUAAAAUUUAAGUUCUUUAUUUUUGCUUGCUUUCGUUCAUAUUGCUUUUUAAGCUGAAAUAAAUUGAGUAACAGAAGCAUGAGAACCCCUGCCAAGUUUUUCAUUUGUUAGGUGGAAUUGAUUGAACGAAUUUUCCUCGUUUUUUGUUCCGUUCCAUAUCCAAAUUGGGCAUGAAAUCGUUUUUAGAACUGAUUAGUGUAUGUGAAAUUGUGAAUUAGGAAUAAUUUAGGCAAGAAAGUUAAAUGGAGAAUAGUGUAUGGAGGCGAUUAAAUACACUCUCUCGUCAUCUACGGAUAGAAAAUGAAACUAAUCAAGUUCUUCAGUUGAAUUGUUCGAGUGCAGUGGAUGGAAUCUCAGACCCUGUAAUUAUAGGCGCAAUGAUAAUGGAUAUUCAUGCUACACCUUCUAUACCAGCACAACCUCGAACAACAACUCCUGGGAUGGUCUUCAUUUGAGCUAGUGGAAGCAUUUGAAAACUGGAUUGACUUUGUAUUUUCUGUAGGAAAUUUUCUUUUUGGAUAUUGGAAAUCAGCUGGGUUAGCCAUAGAAGGAAUUCAAAGACGUCAAGAUGUUGGGACUCCUGUAGUGUGCAAUGUCUUUGAUGCCAAUGGAGAGUUGGCCGCUGCAGUUGCAAGUGUUGAAGCAAUUGAGAAAUUUCUAACAGAAGAAUGGAUUCAGCGAUUUAAAGGCAAUAUUUUAUCUGCUCCAAUAGUGAUGAUUGAUGCAAACUUGAACCCUUUUUCACUCGAAUCUUCUUGCCAAAUAGCGGCAGAAUCUGGGGUUCCUGUAUGGUUCGAGCCUGUCUCUGUUACAAAGUCCAAAAGAGUUGUUUCAGUUGCUAAGCAUAUAACCUUUGCCUCUCCAAAUGAAGAUGAACUCAUUGCAAUGGCAAAUGCUUUGUCAUGUAACGAUCGUUUUUCUCCAAUUCAGAUGGAAGCUAAUGUUGGGAGUAAGUCAGUGGAGUACUUAUUUCAAAUGCUUAAACCAGCAAUGCGGGUUUUGAUUGAUAAGGGUAUCAAGUUGGUGAUAGUGACUCUCGGACCAAAUGGGGUACUCUUAGGCUCUGUGGCUGGGCAAAACUUGACGAAUGACCACCUGAAGAACAUAAACCGAAGUUGCUACAAGAAACAACUAUAUGAAAUUGUUACUUCAAGAUGUCCUUCACGAGAGCUUAUAAGUGAGUUUGAGAGGAGAAGAUCUGAUCUGAUUUUGGUGCACUUUCCAUCUCUUCCAGCAUCGGUCGUGAGGCUAACGGGAGCUGGUGAUUGUUUUGUUGGUGGGACCCUUGCAUCUUUGUGUGCUGGUUUAGAUGUGAUGCAGAGUAUUGCAGUAGGUAUGGCCGCUGCAAAAGCAGCAGUGGAGGUCGAAACUAAUAUACCUUCAGAAUAUGUUCUGGCUACAAUUGCUGAUGAUGCCCAACGGAUACACUCCUCCGCGAAAGUUCUAAGCGAUCAAGAAUCCAUGUGAAGAUGAAGUUUACUGGAUCUCAUUCUCUCUCGAAUGUGACAGGUCCCACUUCACCUUGACCUACAUUCUCGAGGAUCAGAGAGUAAAAUAUCUGACCAUUGAAUUUCCUUUGUAUUCCUUUUGCAAGUGAAAGCAUGGCGACAGAAUCAUGUUUUGGACGUUGGAUAGGAUCAAGGGUUCUAGAUAUAUUCUGCGAGAAAUGGCGACGUGGUCAGAGGCAUAUUUGACACUUAUUAAGAAGAAAAACCGAAAAACCUUUUCAAGGAAACAACCCCUACAUAAUGGUUUUCUAGUUUGUUCUUGCAGUUGAGUUACGUUUCAGCUGAAGUUGAGGUUGUACAAAUGCCUUCCUCAUGUUAUCAUUUUUAUAAUAAAUUGUCGGUAGCGUGAUCAGUCUUUAAUUCUUUUUUCAGCCUGAUUCAUUUCAUAUUCUGUAGAAAAAAAUAUUUGACAAUUAUGAAGUCUCUUUCCCUUGUCGAUGAUCACCAUCAUCUCUAACUAUUAUAUGUAACCGACUCAAAAACUGAACCGUUACAUGUCUAUGUUACAUUUUUUUUAUUGGGU